rnacentral:lncRNA from 1 species
GAAAAUUGGAUAAGACAUAAACUGGUCAUUGCCAGGUGAUAUGGAUCUGGAAAUACUAUAGUUACAAGUGAGCAAAUUUUAUCUACCACCCUGCAGAAACAGGUUGAGAGCAGAGGACUUGGAAAAAGUUAAGGUUGUGCCAGACUUCCAAACAAUCAAAAGAAUUGCACUCCUGGUAAUUACCACCCUGGAAAUGUAACCUCUGACUCAAGUACCAUAAUUGAAUAAGUAUGAAGGGAAAGGGCUUGGGAGCGAGCCUGAAGGUGGAGCCUGAAAACUGAGGCUGAGCAUCAAGAAAAUCUUCCUGGAAGUAAGGAUUAUUAACCUAUGGAAUAACCAUCUCAUAAAGAAGAUGUGAGAGCCCCUUGAUUGUGAAUAUUUACACCUACAUAAGAUGGAGGACAGAAAUGUAAAGGACAGGCCUUAAGUAGCAAAGAGACAAACUAGACAACUCCACAGUGCUUUUAUCUCUAGUUUCUAGGUAGCAAAGACACGUUACUGCUGUCUUGGAGGGAUGCACAGCUAGAAAGUAAGAAUAUUGCAUGUUGGGGUGCUGAUGUGUCUCUAAGCAAUACAGAUUACUCCUGCAUUUUGAGGACAUUUUAAAUGGUAACCUCACUUUUUCUUUCUUUUCUGCAGCAAGCUUUCUAAAAGAAGAAAGUAGGAAAAAAUUAUUUGAUCUCAUCAUUCUGAUACCUGUCUAUUUGUCUUUUUGUGAUCCAGUAGAGAAGAUGAGCGUUGGGUGGAUGAAGAAAAAAAGCCAAGAAAUUGAACCCAGAGUGAGCAAAGGCAAGAAAUACAAGGGAAAAUCCAAGGGGCAAUGAAGUGGAUGGUGCAUCAGGGAAGAGAAAAUCUCAGAAACAAGCAGAAGUAGUGAGAACAAAAAGUGAACUCUUGGAGACAGAGAGGGUGGUGAAGGCUGCCUUUGUGCCUGGCUGAAGAGGAAGACAAGGCUGGUUCCUCGUGGCUAGCAAUCAGUUCAGAAACUCUGUCUAGACAGUGCCCAAGGUGCAAUCCUCACACAGCAGAUCCCUGGAUGCUUCUCCAUAAUGCAUAUCCUGCCCUGGCUUCACAAGGUGAGGUGAUCAUCAGCUUCACAAGGUGAAAUGUGGCACAGGUAGGGCACAGCUGAAGCCCAGAGCAAUGCAAGAGGUGCUCCAGCUGUGGGGAAUGUGUUAGGUCAAAAAGCCAGGGGGAAAAAUUCCAUAAAAAUAAUACAGAACCCCCUUGUCCUGGAGGGAGAUAUUUUGUUCGAAGCUGUGCAGCCGGCACUG